UACAGAGGUGGCGAGCGUUAUUCGGAAUUACUGGGCGUAAAGGGCGCGUAGGCGGCCAAGCAAGUCAGGGGUGAAAUCCCUCGGCUCAACCGAGGAACUGCGUCGGAAACUGGAUGGCUCGAGUCCGGGAGAGGGUAGCGGAAUUCCAGGUGUAGCGGUGAAAUGCGUAGAUAUCGGGAGGAACACCGGUGGCGAAGGCGGCUACCUGGACCGGUUCUGACGCUGAGGCGCGAAAGCCUGGGGAGCAAAC
rnacentral:rRNA from 1 species